GUGUCAGCCGCCGCGGUAAUACGGAGGGUGCAAACGUUGCUCGGAAUCAUUGGGCGUAAAGCGCACGUAGGCGGCGGUAUAAGCGGAAUGUGAAAGCCUGGGGCUCAACCUCAGAAGUGCAUCCCGAACUGUAUCGCUUGAAUCUCGGAGGGGGACAGAGAAUUCCCGGUGUAGAGGUGAAAUUCGUAGAUAUCGGGAGGAAUACCAGUGGCGAAGGCGCUGUCCUGGACGAAGAUUGACGCUGAGGUGCGAAAGCGUGGGGAGCAAACAGGAUUAGAAACCCCCGUAGUCC
rnacentral:rRNA from 1 species